AUUGAACGCUGGCGGCAGGCUUAACACAUGCAAGUCGAGCGAGCGGCGGACUGGUGAGUAAUGGCUGGGAAACUGCCUGAUGGAGGGGGAUAACUACUGGAAACGGUAGCUAAUACCGCAUACCGUCAGAUGGGCCGAGAUGGGAGUAGCGAGUAGGGGGGGGAAUGGCUCACCUAGGCGAAGAUCCCUAGCUGGUCUGAGAGGCUGACCCGACACACUGGAACUGAGACACGGUCCAGACUCCUACGGGAGGCAGCAGUGGGGAAUAUUGCACAAUGGGCGCAAGACUGAUGCAGCCAGGCCGCGUGUGUGAAGAAGGCCUUCGGGUUGUAAAGCACUGUCAGCGAGGAGGCGUUACUCGCAGAAGAAGCACCGGCUAACUCCGUGCCAGCAGCCGCGGUAAUAC
rnacentral:rRNA from 1 species